UACGGAGGGGGCGAGCGUUAUUCGGAAUCAUUGGGCGUAAAGGGCGCGUAGGCGGCUUCAUAAGUCUUGGGUGAAAGCCCUCGGCUCAACCGAGGAAUUGCCUUGGAUACUGUGAAGCUCGAGGCUGGAAGAGGACAGUGGAAUUCCCGGUGUAGCGGUGAAAUGCGUAGAUAUCGGGAAGAACACCCGUGGCGAAGGCGGCUCUCUGGGACGGUACUGACGCUGAGGCGCGAAAGCUAGGGGAGCGAACAGG
rnacentral:rRNA from 1 species